rnacentral:rRNA from 1 species
UACAGAGGUCUCAAGCGUUGUUCGGAUUCAUUGGGCGUAAAGGGUGCGUAGGCGGCGCGGUAAGUCGGGUGUGAAAGUCUCGGAGCUUAACUCCGAAACUGCAUUCGAUACUGCCGUGCUUGAGGACUGGAGAGGAGACUGGAAUUUACGGUGUAGCGGUGAAAUGCGUAGAUAUCGUAAGGAAGACCAGUGGCGAAGGUGGGUCUCUGGACAGUUCCUGACGCUGAGGCACGAAGGUCAGGGGAGCAAACGGG